GGUCAAGCGAACAAGUGCAUGUGGUGGAUGCCUUGGCGAUCACAGGCGAUGAAGGACGCGGUAGCCUGCGAAAAGCUCCGGGGAGCUGGCAAACGAGCAUUGAUCCGGAGAUGUCCGAAUGGGGAAACCCACUCCUAAUGGAGUAUCCGUAGCUGAAUCCAUAGGCUACGUGAAGCGAACGCGGUGAACUGAAACAUCUAAGUAACCGCAGGAAAAGAAAUCAACCGAGAUUCCCAGAGUAGUGGCGAGCGAAAUGGGAUCAGCCGGUACACGUUAUCCGUAUUGUUAGUCGAACGCUCUGGAAAGUGCGGCCAUAGCAGGUGAUAGCCCUGUAGACGAAAACAGCAUGGAAGAACUGGGUGUACGAGAAGUAGGGCGGGACACGUGAAAUCCUGUCUGAAGAUGGGGGGACCAUCCUCCAAGGCUAAAUACUCGUGAUCGACCGAUAGUGAACCAGUACCGUGAGGGAAAGGCGAAAAGAACCCCGGGAGGGGAGUGAAACAGAUCCUGAAACCGCAUGCAUACAAACAGUCGGAGCCUCGUAAGGGGUGACGGCGUACCUUUUGUAUAAUGGGUCAGCGACUUACAUUCAGUGGCGAGCUUAACCGAUUAGGGCAGGCGUAGCGAAAGCGAGUCCGAACAGGGCGUCCAGUCGCUGGGUGUAGACCCGAAACCAGGUGAUCUAUCCAUGGCCAGGUUGAAGGCACGGUAACACGUGCUGGAGGACCGAACCCACUAACGUUGAAAAGUUAGGGGAUGAGCUGUGGAUAGGGGUGAAAGGCUAAACAAACCUGGAAAUAGCUGGUUCUCUCCGAAAACUAUUUAGGUAGUGCCUCGUGUAUCACCUUCGGGGGUAGAGCACUGUCAUGGUUGUGGGGUCCAUUGCGGAUUACUACGCCAUAGCAAACUCCGAAUACCGAAGAGUGCAAUCACGGGAGACAGACAUCGGGUGCUAACGUCCGGUGUCAAGAGGGAAACAACCCAGACCGCCAGCUAAGGUCCCCAAAUAUGGCUAAGUGGGAAACGAAGUGGGAAGGCUAAAACAGUCAGGAGGUUGGCUUAGAAGCAGCCACCCUUUAAAGAAAGCGUAAUAGCUCACUGAUCGAGUCGUCCUGCGCGGAAGAUGUAACGGGGCUAAGCCAUAUACCGAAGCUGCGGAUGCACAGUAAUGUGCAUGGUAGGAGAGCGUUCCGUAAGCCUGCGAAGGUGCACUGGAAAGUGUGCUGGAGGUAUCGGAAGUGCGAAUGCUGACAUGAGUAGCGAUAAAGGGGGUGAAAGGCCCCCUCGCCGUAAGCCCAAGGUUUCCUACGCAACGUUCAUCGGCGUAGGGUGAGUCGGCCCCUAAGGCGAGGCAGAAAUGCGUAGCUGAUGGGAAGCAGAUUAAUAUUUCUGCACCAUUGUGAAAUGCGAUGGGGGGACGGAUCGCGGAAGGUUGUCCGGGUGUUGGAAGUCCCGGUCCUUGCAUUGGAGAAGGCGCUUUGGCAAAUCCGGGCGCGGAAUUCAAGGGUGCGAGGCGAGCCACUUCGGUGGCGAAGCAACUGGAAGGGGUUCCAGGAAAAGCCUCUAAGCUUCAGUUUCACAGUGACCGUACCGCAAACCGACACAGGUGGGCGAGAUGAGUAUUCUAAGGCGCUUGAGAGAACUCGGGAGAAGGAACUCGGCAAAUUGGUACCGUAACUUCGGGAUAAGGUACGCCCUCAUAGCCUGACUGGCCUGCGCCAGAAGGGUGAAAGGGUUGCAAUAAACUGGUGGCUGCGACUGUUUAAUAAAAACACAGCACUCUGCAAACACGAAAGUGGACGUAUAGGGUGUGACGCCUGCCCGGUGCCGGAAGAUUAAAUGAUGGGGUGCAAGCUCCUGAUUGAAGUCCCGGUAAACGGCGGCCGUAACUAUAACGGUCCUAAGGUAGCGAAAUUCCUUGUCGGGUAAGUUCCGACCUGCACGAAUGGCGUAACGAUGGCCACACUGUCUCCUCCCGAGACUCAGCGAAGUUGAAGUGUUUGUGAUGAUGCAAUCUCCCCGCGGCUAGACGGAAAGACCCCAUGAACCUUUACUGUAGCUUUGCAUUGGACUUUGAACCGGUCUGUGUAGGAUAGGUGGGAGGCUAUGAAGUUGGGACGCCAGUCUCAAUGGAGCCGUCCUUGAAAUACCACCCUGAUCUGUUUGAGGUUCUAACCUUGGCCCGUGAUCCGGGUCGGGGACAGUGCAUGGUAGGCAGUUUGACUGGGGCGGUCUCCUCCCAAAGUGUAACGGAGGAGUACGAAGGUACGCUAGGUACGGUCGGAAAUCGUGCUGAUAGUGCAAUGGCAUAAGCGUGCUUGACUGUGAGACUGACAAGUCGAACAGGUGCGAAAGCAGGUCAUAGUGAUCCGGUGGUUCUGUAUGGAAGGGCCAUCGCUCAACGGAUAAAAGGUACUCUGGGGAUAACAGGCUGAUACCGCCCAAGAGUUCAUAUCGACGGCGGUGUUUGGCACCUCGAUGUCGGCUCAUCUCAUCCUGGGGCUGUAGCCGGUCCCAAGGGUAUGGCUGUUCGCCAUUUAAAGAGGUACGUGAGCUGGGUUUAAAACGUCGUGAGACAGUUUGGUCCCUAUCUGCCGUGGGCGCUGGAUAUUUGAAGGGGGCUGCUCCUAGUACGAGAGGACCGGAGUGGACGAACCUCUGGUGUACCGGUUGUCACGCCAGUGGCAUCGCCGGGUAGCUAUGUUCGGAAGAGAUAACCGCUGAAAGCAUCUAAGCGGGAAACUCGCCUUAAGAUGAGAUAUCCCCGGGGCUUCGAGCCCCUUGAAGGGUCGUUCAAGACCAGGACGUUGAUAGGUCAGGUGUGCACGUACAGUAAUGUACUGAGCUAACUGAUACUAAUUGCCCGUAAGGCUUGAUCCU
rnacentral:rRNA from 1 species